rnacentral:rRNA from 1 species
CGGGAUAACCCGGAGAAAUCCGGCCUAAUACCGCAUGUGGCCGAGGGGAGGCAUCUUCUUUCGGCCAAAGGAGGCGACUCCGGAGACGGAUGGGCAUGCGUGACAUUAGCUUGUUGGCGGGGUAACGGCCCACCAAGGCGACGAUGUCUAGGGGUUCUGAGAGGAAGGUCCCCCACACUGGUGCUGAGACACGGACCAGACUCCUACGGGAGGCAGCAGUGAGGAAUAUUGGUCAAUGGGCGAGAGCCUGAACCAGCCAAGUCGCGUGAAGGAUGACGGCCCUACGGGUUGUAAACUUCUUUUGUCAGGGAGCAAUUGAGUCCACGUGUGGGCUUAGCGAGAGUACCUGAAGAAAAAGCAUCGGCUAACUCCGUGCCAGCAGCCGCGGUAAUACGGAGGAUGCGAGCGUUACCCGGAUUUAUUGGGUUUAAAGGGUGCGUAGGCGGAAUAUCAAGUCAGCGGUAAAAAUUCGGGGCUCAACCCCGUCGUGCCGUUGAAACUGAUGUUCUUGAGUGGGCGAGAAGUAUGCGGAAUGCGUGGUGUAGCGGUGAAAUGCAUAGAUAUCACGCAGAACUCCGAUUGCGAAGGCAGCAUACCGGCGCCCAACUGACGCUGAAGCACGAAAGCGUGGGUAUCGAACAGGAUUAGAUACCCUGGUAGUCCACGCAGUAAACGAUGAA